rnacentral:rRNA from 1 species
GACGUAGGAUGCAAGCGUUGUCCGGAUUUAUUGGGCGUAAAGAGUUCGUAGGUGGUUCGUUAAGUCUGAUGUUAAAGACUGGGGCUCAACCCUGGAAGUGCAUUGGAUACUGGCGGACUUGAGUGUGGUAGAGGCAAUCGGAAUUCCAGGUGUAGCGGUGAAAUACGUAGAUAUCUGGAAGAACACCGGUGGCGCAAGCGGAUUGCUGGGCCAUAACUGACACUGAGGAACGAAAGCUAGGGGAGCGAAUGGG